rnacentral:rRNA from 1 species
UUAAGUGAAUAAGGGCGCACGGUGGAUGCCUUGGCACUAGGAGCCGAUGAAGGACGGGACUAACACCGAUAUGCUUUGGGGAGCUGUACGUAAGCUAUGAUCCAGAGAUUUCCGAAUGGGGGAACCCAACAUCUUUAAUAGGAUGUUACGAUUGUGUGAAUACAUAGCACAUUCGAGGUAGACGCAGAGAACUGAAACAUCUAAGUACCUGCAGGAAGAGAAAGAAAAUUCGAUUCCCUGAGUAGCGGCGAGCGAAACGGGAAAAGCCCAAACCAGCAAGCUUGCUUGUUGGGGUUGUAGGACUCCAAUAUGGUAGUUCUUUCAGAUAGUCGAAUGACUUGGAAAAGUCAGUCAAAGAGGGUAAAAACCCCGUAGACGAAAUGUGGAAGACACCUAGGAGGAUCCUGAGUACGGCGGAACACGAGAAAUUCCGUCGGAAUCCGGGAGGACCAUCUCCCAAGGCUAAAUACUCCCUAGUGACCGAUAGUGAACCAGUACCGUGAGGGAAAGGUGAAAAGCACCCCGGAAGGGGAGUGAAAUAGAACCUGAAACCGUGGAGAACACCGCGUUGAAUUUGAAAGCUGAACAAAUUGUUUAGCCUAAAGCAAAAUAGGCGGACGGCUAUAAAAUCUUUGAUUUUAAGUUGAAGAGACGGAGCCGCAGCGAAAGCGAGUCUGAAUAGGGCGUUUGAGUAUGUAGUCGUAGACCCGAAACCAUGUGAUCUACCCAUGUCCAGGUUGAAGGUGCGGUAAAACGCACUGGAGGACCGAACCCACGUACGUUGAAAAGUGCGGGGAUGAGGUGUGGGUAGCGGAGAAAUUCCAAACGAACUUGGAGAUAGCUGGUUCUCUCCGAAAUAGCUUUAGGGCUAGCCUCGGAAUUGAGAAUGAUGGAGGUAGAGCACUGUUUGGACUAGGGGCCCAUCUCGGGUUACCGAAUUCAGAUAAACUCCGAAUGCCAUUCAUUCAUAUCCGGGAGUCAGACUGUGAGUGAUAAGAUCCAUAGUCGAAAGGGAAACAGCCCAGACCACCAGCUAAGGUCCCAAAAUAUAUGUUAAGUGGAAAAGGAUGUGGGGUUGCACAGACAACUAGGAUGUUGGCUUAGAAGCAGCCAUCAUUUAAAGAGUGCGUAAUAGCUCACUAGUCGAGUGACCCUGCGCCGAAAAUGUACCGGGGCUAAACAUAUUACCGAAGCUGUGGAGUACACCUUUAGGUGUAUUGGUAGGAGAGCGUUCUAAGGGCGUCGAAGGCAGAUCGUGAGGACUGCUGGAGCGCUUAGAAGUGAGAAUGCCGGUAUGAGUAGCGAAAGACAGGUGAGAAUCCUGUCCACCGAAUGACUAAGGUUUCCUGGGGAAGGCUCGUCCGCCCAGGGUUAGUCGGGACCUAAGCCGAGGCCGACAGGCGUAGGCGAUGGAUAACAGGUUGAUAUUCCUGUACCCGUUGUUUUUGUUUGAGCAAUGGAGGGACGCAGGAGGCUAAGGAAUGCAGACGAUCGGAAAUGUCUGUCCAAGCAGUAAGUCUGAAGAGGAGUUAAAUGCUUCUUUUCUUAAGGACAAGCUGUGAUGGGGAGGGAAAUAAUAGUACCGAAGUUCCUGAUGUCACACUGCCGAGAAAAGCUUCUAGUGAGAAAACAGCGGCCCGUACCGCAAACCGACACAGGUAGUCGAGGAGAGAAUCCUAAGGUGAGCGAGAGAACUCUCGUUAAGGAACUCGGCAAAAUGACCCCGUAACUUCGGGAGAAGGGGUGCUGAUCAUACGAUCAGCCGCAGUGAAUAGGCCCAAGCGACUGUUUAUCAAAAACACAGGUCUCUGCAAAAUCGUAAGAUGAAGUAUAGGGGCUGACGCCUGCCCGGUGCUGGAAGGUUAAGAGGAGUGCUUAGCGCAAGCGAAGGUACGAAUUGAAGCCCCAGUAAACGGCGGCCGUAACUAUAACGGUCCUAAGGUAGCGAAAUUCCUUGUCGGGUAAGUUCCGACCCGCACGAAAGGCGUAACGAUUUGGGCACUGUCUCAACGAGAGACUCGGUGAAAUUUUAGUACCUGUGAAGAUGCAGGUUACCCGCGACAGGACGGAAAGACCCCAUGGAGCUUUACUGUAGUUUGAUAUUGAGUGUCUGUACCGCAUGUACAGGAUAGGUAGGAGCCGUAGAAAUCGGAACGCUAGUUUCGAUGGAGGCGCGACAGGCGUAGGCGAUGGAUAACAGGUUGAUAUUCCUGUACCCGUUGUUUUUGUUUGAGCAAUGUGUCAGAUGGGCAGUUUGACUGGGGCGGUCGCCUCCUAAAAGGUAACGGAGGCGCCCAAAGGUUCCCUCAGAAUGGUUGGAAAUCAUUCGAAGAGUGUAAAGGCAGAAGGGAGCUUGACUGCGAGACCAACAAGUCGAGCAGGGACGAAAGUCGGGCUUAGUGAUCCGGUGGUUCCGCAUGGAAGGGCCAUCGCUCAACGGAUAAAAGCUACCCUGCCUAAGGUGAGCGAGAGAACUCUCGUUAAGGAACUCGACGGGGAGGUUUGGCACCUCGAUGUCGGCUCGUCGCAUCCUGGGGCUGUAGUCGGUCCCAAGGGUUGGGCUGUUCGCCCAUUAAAGCGGCACGCGAGCUGGGUUCAGAACGUCGUGAGACAGUUCGGUCCCUAUCCGUCGCGGGCGUUGGAAAUUUGAGAGGAGCUGUCCUUAGUACGAGAGGACCGGGAUGGACUUACCGCUGGUGUACCAGUUGUUCUGCCAAGGGCAUUGCUGGGUAGCUAUGUAGGGAAGGGAUAAACGCUGAAAGCAUCUAAGUGUGAAGCCCACCUCAAGAUGAGAUUUCCCAUUUCUUUAAGAAAGUAAGAUCCCUGAGAGAUGAUCAGGUAGAUAGGUCAGGAGUGGAAGUACAGUGAUGUAUGGAGCGGACUGAUACUAAUCGAUCGAGGACUUAACC